UACAGAGGGUGCAAGCGUUGUUCGGAAUUAUUGGGCGUAAAGCGCGUGUAGGCGGCUUUGCAAGUCGGGUGUGAAAUCCCUCAGCUCAACUGAGGAAGUGCGCCCGAAACUGCAGAGCUUGAGUACCGGAGAGGAUGGUGGAAUUCCCCAAGUAGAGGUGAAAUUCGUAGAUAUGGGGAGGAACACCGGUGGCGAAGGCGACCAUCUGGACGGAUACUGACGCUGAGACGCGAAAGCGUGGGGAGCGAACAGG
rnacentral:rRNA from 1 species